rnacentral:lncRNA from 1 species
GCUCUCCGCACACCUGGGGGAGGCCCCGCCCCCGGGAGCACAGGUGCGCGCGGGCGGGCGUCGCUGCGGCUUCGGAGCGCACCGUUCCCGGGGCUCUGCCCGGAUCCCCUAGCGCCCCGGAGCCACGCAGGCUUCUGUCUCCCCGCUGCUUUCCUUUGACGAUCGGGCUGCGGGGCUUGGCGAGGGGUGACCCCUGCCCUGGAGAGGACACUGGGUGCCCCAGUGCUCACCAUUGCGUCUGGUACAUCAGCCAGGAAGACUGACCAGGCUGACUUCUUAGGUCACUGGUCUUGGGCCUCAUGGACGGGGCAAGAACCUCUUUGGGUCCUAACAAGAAAGUGUAUCCUCAAGAUUUCUUGAGUCCCCUUGGAGGUCUGGAGGAGGAUUCCUGGCUCCCCACUUGAGCAGCUCACAUCAUCCCCUGUCAGCCACCAAAGUUGCUACCAACACCUAUAGCUUCAAUUCCCAUCCCAGACUCCUCUUCUUCCAACCAGUUGAACUGGUUCCAGCUAGCCAUUGCCUGCAUUCAGCCACAGAGGCCCUCCCCCUGAACCUGCUUCAUGGCUAUGCCUAACCUGGUCAGAUGGCACCAUUCUGCUUCUGUAUUUCCUGCUUGCUUGUCCCAUAUGAGCCCUAGACCACCAGAGAGCAGGGCCUGAUAUUCUGGGAAUGAUCCUGAUCAGUGCCAAUGGACAUAAAUAAAUCUGCCUCUAAAUCCUGGGUGUUGUUUUGGUGUUUCUGCUUGCUGUUGUA